GAUCCUGGCUCAGGAUGAACGCUAGCUACAGGCUUAACACAUGCAAGUCGAGGGGAAACGACAUCGAAAGCUUGCUUUUGAUGGGCGUCGACCGGCGCACGGGUGAGUAACGCGUAUCCAACCUGCCCACCACUUGGAGAUAACCUUGCGAAAGUAAGACUAAUACCCAAUGACGUCUCUAGAAGACAUCUGAAAGAGAUUAAAGAUUUAUCGGUGAUGGAUGGGGAUGCGUCUGAUUAGCUUGUUGGCGGGGUAACGGCCCACCAAGGCGACGAUCAGUAGGGGUUCUGAGAGGAAGGUCCCCCACAUUGGAACUGAGACACGGUCCAAACUCCUACGGGAGGCAGCAGUGAGGAAUAUUGGUCAAUGGGCGAGAGCCUGAACCGGCCAAGUAGCGUGCAGGACGACGGCCCUAUGGGUUGUAAACCUCUUUUGAUUGGGAACAAAGAGCGCCACGUGUGGUGCGUUGCGUGUACCUUUCGAAUAAGCAUCGGCUAAUUCCGUG
rnacentral:rRNA from 1 species